UACGUAGGGUGCGAGCGUUGCUCGGAAUCACUGGGCGUAAAGGGUGCGUAGGCGGGUCUUUAAGUCAGGGGGGAAAUCCUGGAGCUCAACUCCAGAACUGCCUUUGAUACUGAAGAUCUUGAGUUCGGGAGAGGUGAGUGGAACUGCGAGUGUAGAGGUGAAAUUCGUAGAUAUUCGCAAGAACACCAGUGGCGAAGGCGGCUCGCUGGACCGGUUCUGACGCUGAGGCGCGAAAGCGUGGGGAGCAAACGGG
rnacentral:rRNA from 1 species